rnacentral:rRNA from 1 species
GAUGAACGCUGGCGGCGUGCCUAAUACAUGCAAGUCGAGCGAACAGACGAGGAGCUUGCUCCUCUGACGUUAGCGGCGGACGGGUGAGUAACACGUGGAUAACCUACCUAUAAGACUGGGAUAACUUCGGGAAACCGGAGCUAAUACCGGAUAAUAUAUUGAACCGCAUGGUUCAAUAGUGAAAGACGGUUUUGCUGUCACUUAUAGAUGGAUCCGCGCCGCAUUAGCUAGUUGGUAAGGUAACGGCUUACCAAGGCAACGAUGCGUAGCCGACCUGAGAGGGUGAUCGGCAACACUGGAACUGAGACACGGUCCAGACUCCUACGGGAGGCAGCAGUAGGGAAUCUUCGGCAAUGGGCGAAAGCCUGACGGAGCAACGCCGCGUGAGUGAUGAAGGUCUUCGGAUCGUAAAACUCUGUUAUUAGGGAAGAACAAAUGUGGAAGUAACUAUGCACGUCUUGACGGUACCUAAUCAGAAAGCCACGGCUAACUACGUG